ACUAUUUUGGCAGAAAAAAUGUAAUGGUUUUAGAAAUCAUAAAUAUAUAAAUUUUAUUAUAUAGGUAGUA
rnacentral:tRNA from 1 species